UGGGGAAUCUUGCACAAUGGGGGAAACCCUGAUGCAGCGACGCCGCGUGAACGAUGAAGCCCUUCGGGGUGUAAAGUUCUUUCGGCAGGAACGAUAAUGACGGUACCUGAAGAAGAAGCUGCGGCUAACUACGUGCCAGCAGCCGCGGUAAUACGUAGGCAGCAAACGUUGUUCGGAGUUACUGGGCGUAAAGAGUACGUAGGCGGUUUGCCAAGUUUGGUGUGAAAUCUCCUGGCUUAACUGGGAGGGUGCGCCGAAUACUGGCAGACUUGAGUAUUGGAGAGGAAAGCGGAAUUCCUGGUGUAGCGGUGAAAUGCGUAGAUAUCAGGAGGAACACCGGUGGUGUAGACGGCUUUCUGGACAAUCACUGACGCUGAGGUACGAAAGCGUGGGUAGCAAACAGGAUUAGAUACCCCCGUAGUCCCUG
rnacentral:rRNA from 1 species